rnacentral:rRNA from 1 species
AACGAACGCUGGCGGCAUGCCUAACACAUGCAAGUCGAACGAGACCUUCGGGUCUAGUGGCGCACGGGUGCGUAACGCGUGGGAACCUGCCCUUAGGUUCGGAAUAACUCCCCGAAAGGGGUGCUAAUACCGGAUAAUGUCUUCGGACCAAAGAUUUAUCGCCUUUGGAUGGGCCCGCGUUGGAUUAGCUAGUUGGUAGGGUAAAAGCCUACCAAGGCGACGAUCCAUAGCUGGUCUGAGAGGAUGAUCAGCCACACUGGGACUGAGACACGGCCCAGACUCCUGGGGGAGGAGGCGGGGGGAAAUAGCGGAAAAGGGGCGAAGGCUGUACCCAGCAUUGCCGGGGGAGGAAUAAGGCCGUGGGGGUUGAAAAGCUUUUUUCCCGGGAAUUAAAAGCAGAGGACGGGGAAAAAAAGCCCCGGCAAACCCGGGC